rnacentral:lncRNA from 1 species
AAUAUUAUUUUCGUUGUUUUAGAUGAUGUUCAUCCCGUCGUUAAUAGUGUAGAUCUGCUGCUUUUUUUUUCGUUUACCGCAAAUUUUUUGCAACCUUCGCACGCAACCUCUUUACUCUACCCAUUCACAGAGUCAUCCCCCUCUCUUUCUCUGUUCUUUCUAUCUCUCUCUCUCUGUUCUUUCUCUCUCUCUCUCUUGCACGCCCCCUCCACAAACCCUUGCUCCUCUUCACCUUCCCCCUUCUCCUUCUUUCCCAAAAGUAAUCCUGCACCCCACCAAAUCCACACCCUGUCACCGGUCCGUCAGCACGCGCUCGCGAGCGACGGCGCAU